UCUUAGGCUUUGGCCCCUCUAGGGAUUGGUGUUGCAACUGGAGAACAAUGCCAUAACAGAGUGAUAUUUAAGCAGCUCCUCCAGGCUCAGGCCUUGAGCUUUGUCCAAGUGGAUAGCUGCAGGCUGGGAAGCGUCAAUGAAAACUUGUCUGUGUUGUUGAUGGCUAAGAAGUUUCAAAUUCCUGUUUGUCCUCAUGCUGGAGGAGUUGGGCUUUGCGAGUUGGUGCAACACUUGAUAAUAUUUGACUACAUUUCAGUAUCUGGUAGCCUUAAGAAUAGGAUGUGUGAAUACGUAGACCAUCUGCAUGAACAUUUCAAGAAUCCUGUAGUAAUCGUGAAUGCAUCCUACAUACCACCCCAGGUAUUGCUGGCAUGGGCA